CGGCAUGCUUUACACAUGCAAGUCGAACGGCAGCACGGGUGCUUGCACCGUGGUGGCGAGUGGCGGACGGGUGAGUAAUGCAUCGGAACGUGUCCUAAAGUGGGGGAUAACGCAUCGAAAGAUGUGCUAAUACCGCAUAUUCUCUGAGGAGGAAAGUAGGGGAUCGAAAGACCUUAUGCUUUUGGAGCGGCCGAUGUCUGAUUAGCUAGUUGGUAGGGUAAUGGCUUACCAAGGCGACGAUCAGUAGUUGGUCUGAGAGGACGACCAGCCACACUGGGACUGAGACACGGCCCAGACUCCUACGGGAGGCAGCAGUGGGGAAUUUUGGACAAUGGGCGCAAGCCUGAUCCAGCAAUGCCGCGUGAGUGAAGAAGGCCUUCGGGUUGUAAAGCUCUUUCAGUUGAAAAGAAAAAGCCGUGACUAAUAAUCAUGGUUCAUGACGGUAUCAACAGAAGAAGCACCGGCUAACUACGUGCCAGCAGCCGCGGUAAUACGUAGGGUGCAA
rnacentral:rRNA from 1 species